rnacentral:rRNA from 1 species
UACGUAGGGUGCAAGCGUUGUCCGGAUUUAUUGGGCGUAAAGAGCUCGUAGGCGGUUUGUCGCGUCGGAUGUGAAAACCCAGGGCUCAACCCUGGGCCUGCAUUCGAUACGGGCAAACUAGAGUAUGGCAGGGGAGACUGGAAUUCCUGGUGUAGCGGUGAAAUGCGCAGAUAUCAGGAGGAACACCGGUGGCGAAGGCGGGUCUCUGGGCCAAAACUGACGCUGAGGUGCGACAGCGUGGGGAGCAAACAGG